rnacentral:tRNA from 1 species
ACCUGGAUUGUUCAGUUGGUGAAGCGUCUGACUUUGGCUCAGGUCAUUGUCUUGCAGUUUGUGGGUUCGAGCCCCGCGUCAGGUU